rnacentral:rRNA from 1 species
GGAGCUUGCUCCACCGGAAAAAGAAGAGUGGCGAACGGGUGAGUAACACGUGGGUAACCUGCCCAUCAGAAGGGGAUAACACUUGGAAACAGGUGCUAAUACCGUAUAACAAUCGAAACCGCAUGGUUUUGAUUUGAAAGGCGCUUUCGGGUGUCGCUGAUGGAUGGACCCGCGGUGCAUUAGCUAGUUGGUGAGGUAACGGCUCACCAAGGCCACGAUGCAUAGCCGACCUGAGAGGGUGAUCGGCCACAUUGGGACUGAGACACGGCCCAAACUCCUACGGGAGGCAGCAGUAGGGAAUCUUCGGCAAUGGACGAAAGUCUGACCGAGCAACGCCGCGUGAGUGAAGAAGGUUUUCGGAUCGUAAAACUCUGUUGUUAGAGAAGAACAAGGAUGAGAGUAACUGUUCAUCCCUUGACGGUAUCUAACCAGAAAGCCACGGCUAACUACGUGCCAGCAGCCGCGGUAAUACGUAGGUGGCAAGCGUUGUCCGGAUUUAUUGGGCGUAAAGCGAGCGCAGGCGGUU